rnacentral:rRNA from 1 species
CCUACGGGAGGCAGCAGUGGGGAAUAUUGCACAAUGGGCGAAAGCCUGAUGCAGCAACGCCGCGUGAGUGAUGAAGGCCUUCGGGUUGUAAAGCUCUGUCUUUGGGGACGAUAAUGACGGUACCCAAGGAGGAAGCCACGGCUAACUACGUGCCAGCAGCCGCGGUAAUACGUAGGUGGCAAGCGUUGUCCGGAUUUACUGGGCGUAAA